rnacentral:rRNA from 1 species
UACGUAGGGGGCUAGCGUUAUCCGGAAUUACUGGGCGUAAAGGGUGCGUAGGUGGUUUCUUAAGUCAGAAGUGAAAGGCUACGGCUCAACCGUAGUAAGCUUUUGGAACUGUAGGACUUGAGUGCAGGAGAGGAGAGUAGAAUUCCUAGUGUAGCGGUGAAAUGCGUAGAGAUGUGGAGGAACACCAGUGGCGAAGGCGGCUUUCUGGACGAUGACUGACGCUGAGACGCGAAAGCGUGGGGAGCAAACA